GCUCUUUGCUGACGAGUGGCGGACGGGUGAGUAAUGUCUGGGAAACUGCCUGAUGGAGGGGGAUAACUACUGGAAACGGUAGCUAAUACCGCAUAACGUCGCAAGACCAAAGAGGGGGACCUUCGGGCCUCUUGCCAUCGGAUGUGCCCAGAUGGGAUUAGCUAGUAGGUGGGGUAACGGCUCACCUAGGCGACGAUCCCUAGCUGGUCUGAGAGGAUGACCAGCCACACUGGAACUGAGACACGGUCCAGACUCCUACGGGAGGCAGCAGUGGGGAAUAUUGCACAAUGGGCGCAAGCCUGAUGCAGCCAUGCCGCGUGUAUGAAGAAGGCCUUCGGGUUGUAAAGUACUUUCAGCGGGGAGGAAGGGAGUAAAGUUAAUACCUUUGCUCAUUGACGUUACCCGCAGAAGAAGCACCGGCUAACUCCGUGCCAGCAGCCGCGGUAAUACGGAGGGUGCAAGCGUUAAUC
rnacentral:rRNA from 1 species